rnacentral:rRNA from 1 species
UACGUAGGGGGCAAGCGUUGUCCGGAAUUAUUGGGCGUAAAGAGCUCGUAGGCGGUUUGUUGCGUCGGCUGUGAAAACCUGCGGCUUAACUGUGGGCUUGCAGUCGAUACGGGCAGACUUGAGUUCGGCAGGGGAGACUGGAAUUCCUGGUGUAGCGGUGAAAUGCGCAGAUAUCAGGAGGAACACCGGUGGCGAAGGCGGGUCUCUGGGCCGAUACUGACGCUGAGGAGCGAAAGCGUGGGGAGCGAACAGG